GACGUAGGGGGCCAGCGUUGUUCGGAAUUACUGGGUGUAAAGGGUGCGUAGGCGGUCGUGCAAGUCGGAUGUGAAAUCUCAGGGCUCAACCCUGAAACUGCAUUCGAUACUGCGCGGCUAGAGUGCUGGAGGGGAGACUGGAAUUUACGGUGUAGCAGUGAAAUGCGUAGAUAUCGUAAGGAAGACCAGUGGCGAAGGCGAGUCUCUGGACAGCAACUGACGCUGAGGCACGAAGGCCAGGGGAGCAAACGGG
rnacentral:rRNA from 1 species